rnacentral:rRNA from 1 species
UACGAAGGGGGCUAGCGUUGCUCGGAAUUACUGGGCGUAAAGGGCGCGUAGGCGGACGUUUAAGUCGGGGGUGAAAGCCCGGGGCUCAACCUCGGAAUUGCCUUCGAUACUGGACGUCUUGAGUACGGGAGAGGUGAGUGGAACUCCGAGUGUAGAGGUGAAAUUCGUAGAUAUUCGGAAGAACACCAGUGGCGAAGGCGGCUUACUGGUCCGGUACUGACGCUGAGGUGCGAAAGCGUGGGGAGCAAACAGG